UCGUCUUUCUCGUACGAAAAAACAGAUUUUGUGAAUCUAGGGUUUUUGAUCUGUGUUGAUUCCGGAAUUUGUUGGUUGUAUAAUUAAAUGGAAAAAAGGAUAUUGACGGCUGGGCCGGAGAGAAAGAGAGCACGAGCGGCGCCGGAGAAUGCUGAGGCGGAGGAACCAACACUGGAAUCGGACAUUCUUUCAAGAAGCUUUCAAGCUACUCUUCAACUUCAUAUGGAGAUUCUUUAAGCACUCAAACGUCUCCGAUGAAAUGCCUCAAUUCUGUUGAAGAUGAUACGAAUUCUCUACUUAAAUGCAUCAAUUAUGAUGAUCAAGAUGAUAUGAAUUCUCUACUUAAAUUGCCAUCCCCGGUGAAAUGCAUCAAUUCUGAUGAAGAUGAUAUGGAUUGUAUGUUUAAAACGCCAUCCCCGGUGAAAUGCACCGAUCCUACUACACCUUCGUCUCAUCCUAUUCGAAUAUUGCCAAGAAAACUUGUUAUAGUACCGAGCAAACGAAAGCCUCUUCCAGUCAUUGUACAAUCUCAGAUUCAAGAUUGGCAUCCAUGGAGAUGAUGCGCAGGAAACUGCUUGCAGGCCUACAAAACAGGACUUGAUUCACAACCUAUAUAUUGCUGAUACAAGUAAGUUGCUACUAAAAAACUCAAGGCUAAACAUAUUUAUUACUACUACUGCAACAGACAACAGACAACAGACGAGGUCGAGGUCGAGGAGCAGCUCAAAUUGCUGCAAGGACUUGCUUCAGAGUGGAUUUAUGAGAAGCUUGAGUCGAGUGGGGAUUCACUCAUAGGUCUCAACAGGAUCUUGAGCCCAGAAGCCAUGCAUAGGAGGCUGUCCGAGGCGAUAUGAAACUAUGCAGAUCUUUGUUGUAUUCCACCCUCGUUUCAUCUUAUCAUGCUUAAUACAGACUACUUUUCAAUAUGCAUAAAUUUAUUCAACUUAUUUGAGUAUUUUUAUAGGAGCAAAAUAUAGCACAACAUGAUCAUAUAUUAUGUAUGUUAAUGUUGA